UAGGGAAUAUUGGACAAUGGGCGAAAGCCUGAUCCAGCAACGCCGCGUGCGCGAUGAAGGCCUUCGGGUUGUAAAGCGCUUUUCGGGGGGAUGAGGAAGGACAGUACCCCCGGAAUAAGUCUCGGCUAACUACGUGCCAGCAGCCGCGGUAAAACGUAGGAGGCAAGCGUUAUCCGGAUUUACUGGGCGUAAAGCGCGUGCAGGCGGUUCGGUAAGUCGGACGUGAAAGCUCCUGGCUCAACUGGGAGAUGCCGUUCGAUACUACCGAACUAGAGGGCAGGAGAGGGAGGUGGAAUUCCGGGUGUAGCGGUGAAAUGCGUAGAUAUCCGGAGGAACACCAGUGGCGAAGGCGGCCUCCUAGUCUGCCCCUGACGCUCAGACGCGAAAGCUAGGGGAGCGAACGGG
rnacentral:rRNA from 1 species